rnacentral:sRNA from 1 species
UCCCAUGGUGGCUACUGCGAUCUGGAGUC